CCUCUUAUCUGUAGUUAGUAAGGUGAAUCAUCAUUAAACAACUGUGUUCCUAUUCUUAUUACGUGCCCUUCCCCCAUCACAUUGUAUGCCCAUUUUACAGCGGAGAUGGUCCCAGCUGUGGGGUGUACAAAAUCAAGGGGGGAGUCCGGUUCCUCUCUCCAGUGAAGGAGUAACGUAGAUGUGCUUCAGGCCAACAGGGCUUAGCAAGGAAGCUGAGCCUGAGGAAAUCUGCCUUCAUUUUCUUACCAGGAGCCCAUCACCUACAUUGCACACUGGAUUCCGGGUGCCAGAAGGCACCAGGAGAAGCAAAUGGAAGCGCUGAGAUCAUCCUGAGAUAAGGCACCAAAGCUCCCAGGGCCAGGCUCUUGACUUCGAUGCCAGCUUACCUGGUGUCAUGCCAAAAGGAGGAAAAGACAGGUGUGUACAAAUAUUAUAAAACUAAUUCUUGGAACUGGAACUACUUGCUGAAAAAAGUCAUUCCAGCUUGUGCUCCCACCUGUAAGGAGAAUGUUCCUUUCCGGCUAACCUGUAAACCAGCUCUUUUCAUAAGCAAAAUGUGGUCUAAUUGCUGCUUUCUAACAUGGAGAACCCAGUGUGCCAGGAACUUCACAUACACAGUUGGAACUGAUUUAAUUUAAUUUACUUCUUGAAACAAUAAUGAGAGUGUGAGCACAAGGAGACAAAAUACUGGAAGAAGCUCACCUCUCAUCACCCCAGGGAUGCAAAUUAAAAUAAGAUAUCUUUAUGCUUCAAACCUCUCAAGU